rnacentral:rRNA from 1 species
AGAUUGAACGCUGGCGGCAUGCCUUACGCAUGCAAGUCGAACGCGAAAGGGGGGCAACCCCCGAGUAGAGUGGCGAACGGGUGAGUAAUACAUCGGAACGUAUCCAGUAGCGGGGGAUAACCUCUCGAAAGAGAGGCUAAUACCGCAUACGACCUACGGGUGAAAGAGGGGGAUCGCAAGACCUCUCACUAUUGGAGCGGCCGAUGUCGGAUUAGCUAGUUGGCGGGUAACGCCCACAAGGCUACGAUCCGUAGCCUGGUCUGAGAGGACGACCAGCCACACUGGAACUGAGACAGGUCCAGACUCCUACGGGAGCAGCAGUGGGAUUUGGACAAGUGGCGCAAGUCCUGACUCCGAGCCAUCGCCGCGUGAGUCGAAGAAGGCUUACGGGUUGUAAAGCGUUACUUCGGC